rnacentral:rRNA from 1 species
UGCAUUGUAAACCUCAGAAGUGUUAUCCGCGCCGGACCAGGUUCAAGUCCCUUGGAAUAGGGCAUCAUAGAGGGUGAAAGUCCCGUGCUUGAUCUGGAACCCCCGGGGCUUUGUGAUGCGCUCUCAAAGAGUCGAGUUGUUUGGGAAUGCAGCUCAAAAUGGGUGGUAAAUGCCAUCUAAGGCUAAAUAUCGAGGAGAGACCGAUAGCGAACAAGUACCGUGAGGGAAAGAUGAAAAGAAACUCUGAAAAGAGAGUUAAACAGUACGUGAAAUUGCCGGAAGGGAAGGGUAGGAAGUCAGACAUGCCUUUGCAGAUUCAGCCUUGUCUUUGGACUUGGUGCAUUUUUGUAAUGGCAGGCCAGCGUCGGUUUGUGCCGCCGGAUAUAGGUUUAGGGAAA